GGCAGCGUGGCAUAGUGGUUUGAGUAUUGAACUAUGACUCUGGAGAGCAGGGUUCGAUUUCCAGCUUGGCUG
rnacentral:tRNA from 1 species